rnacentral:rRNA from 1 species
GAUGAACGCUAGCGGCAGGCUUAACACAUGCAAGUCGAGGGGUAACAGGAUUUAGUUUACUAGAUUGCUGACGACCGGCGCACGGGUGAGUAACGCGUAUACAAUUUGCCUUUUACUGGAGGAUAGCCCAGAGAAAUUUGGAUUAAUACUCCAUAGUAUUAUUUGGUCACCUGAUCGAGUAAUUAAAGUUCCGGCGGUAAAAGAUGAGUAUGCGUCCUAUUAGCUAGAUGGUAAGGUAACGGCUUACCAUGGCGACGAUAGGUAGGGGUCCUGAGAGGGAGAUCCCCCACACUGGUACUGAGACACGGACCAGACUCCUACGGGAGGCAGCAGUGAGGAAUAUUGGGCAAUGGAGGCAACUCUGACCCAGCCAUGCCGCGUGCAGGAAGACUGCCCUAUGGGUUGUAAACUGCUUUUAUACAGGAAGAAACUUAUCCACGUGUGGAUAACUGACGGUACUGUAAGAAUAAGGACCGGCUAACUCCGUG